UACGAAGGGGGCUAGCGUUGUUCGGAAUCACUGGGCGUAAAGCGCACGUAGGCGGACUGUUAAGUCAGGGGUGAAAUCCUGGGGCUCAACCCCAGAACUGCCCUUGAUACUGGCGAUCUUGAGUGUGGGAGAGGUUGGUGGAACUCCGAGUGUAGAGGUGAAAUUCGUAGAUAUUCGGAAGAACACCAGUGGCGAAGGCGGCCAACUGGCCCAUUACUGACGCUGAGGUGCGAAAGCGUGGGGAGCAAACAGG
rnacentral:rRNA from 1 species